rnacentral:piRNA from 1 species
UCACGUUUGAAACGCCAAGUGAGAGCUGC